UAGGCCUAAGUAAAUCAGUGUUGAGCCUGAACUCUACACGUCUGCUAUUCAUCCACAUAUGUGUGUGUGGAUCUCAGCGGCCCCGCUAGUGGCGCUGACCCUACAGUAGACCUGGUCCAGGUCCUGGUCCCGCUCCUGGUCCAGGGGUUCCGCUCCCGCUCCCGGUUCCGGUCCCGCUAUCGGUCCCGCUCUCGGUCCCGCUCUCGGUCCCGGUCCGGCCGCCAGGCGGCGCCGCUAGACCGCGGAUCGGCCCGCAGCUCCAGAGCAGAAAGCCCCUCGGUGUGACGAGCUGCUUCCUGACCAGACCUGCCGGGAGCCACACCUCGGACCCGAGAUCCGAGACCCGAGAUUCGAGACAAGUACCCGCGACCGAACGGCAGGAUCUAUACUCCAGACCCGGACCAUUUGGACCCUCUCGGAGUGUGAGCAGAGCCUGCGAGAAGGAGCGGAACGCGUUUCUGCUCUGUGGAGAACGAGGAAGAGGAGACGUCACCGGGUUCAACUGUUCCUGGUCCGGUGAGCGGAACGCUUCUGGUUCUUCUUUGAACGGGGCAUUUAUAGGUUAUUUGAAAUCGUUAUGAUAUAAAAACCAGACGACAUCUCCAACUAAACGACGGCGAAUCCAAACUAUGGUCACUAGUAGGCGACUCGCUCAGGUCUCCACGGUGAACCCACCGACUGCUGAGCCGUUCGGGGUCCCUGCGGUCAGAGAUGAACCCUGAGGAAUCCCUGUUUCCCUGUUGCCGUGGUAACCACAUCCCAUGACCUGACUCCAGCAGCUGAAUGCCCCACAGCGUCGCCACGGAAACCAACCCCAGCGUGGCGCUCCGGGUGUCGCGGAGUCUCGGGAUGAGCGAGUUUUGGCACAAGAUGGGAUGCUGCGUGGUGGCCACGCAACCACAGAAGAGGAGGAGGAGGCCGAAGAUAGACCUCAGUAUGAUCGGGGAGCCCACCAACUUCAUGCACCUCACCCACAUCGGCUCUGGAGAGAUGGCCGAUGGACCGUCAGGGUCGAUGCAGGAACAGAUGCGGUCGAAAGGACCCCCCACGAACGGCAGAAACAGUCUCUUAUAGUAGAUAUAGAUAUAGAUACACAGCUAUAUCUAUAUCUAUAUCUACACGUCUCAUAUUGCUGUUCUGCAUUGACACAUCUGGUCCUGCUGGAUGCAAUCCUGUUCCAAACAUCUGGUCUCUCCCGGUCCCGUCCUGGUCCCUCCUGGUCUCUCCUGGUCCCUCCCGGUCUCUCCUGGUCCCUCCCGGUCUCUCCUGGUCCCUCCCGGUCUCUCCUUGUCCCUCCUGGUCUCUCCUGGUCUCUCCUGGUCCCUCCUGGUCCCUCCUGGUCCCUCCCGGUCUCUCCUGGUCUCUCCUGGUCCCUCCUGGUCUCUCCCGGUCCCUCCUGGUCUCUCCUGGUCUCUCCCGGUCCCUCCCGGUCCCUCCCGGUCUCUCCCGGUCCCUCCUGGUCCCUCCUGGUUUCUCCUGGACCCUCCUGGUCUCUCCCGGUCUCUCAUGGACCCAGUACCCUGGCCCUCCAUCCCGGACCCUCUUCUUCUUCACCUUCCUCUCACUGCGUGUCCCCCCCCCCCUGGACAGACCCCCACAGUGCCUGGAGGACAGAAGGACUACUGGAGGAAAGACGGACUACUGGACUAGUAAUGAAAGACUCUUUGGGAGGAGGGGAGGUGUUGAUAAAGGCUGUCUUCAUGAGAUCAUUUCACUGCUGUUGUGUUAGCUGUUGUGUUAGCUGUUGUGUUAGCUGUUGUGUUAGCUGAUGUGUUAGCUGUGGUGUUAGCUGUGGUGUUAGCUGUGGUGUUAGCUGAUGUGUUAGCUGAUGUGUUAGCUGAUGUGUUAGCUGUUGUGUUAGCUGUGGUGUUAGCUGUUGUGUCGUGGUGGUUUCUAAACAACGGGGACCUGCUCCUUUAACCCAGUGACUCCUCUGUCUGGGAGGAGGAGUCACUGGUUAGUCAUUAACCUAACGAGUGGAGUAAGGUUCAGUACGGUGCAGUUUGGUGGAGUAAGGUUCUGUUAGGUGGAGCAAGAUUCAGUUAGGUCGAGCAAGGUGCAGUAAGGUGGAGUAAGGUGCAGUCAGGUGGAGUAAGGUGCAGUUAGGUGGAGUAAGGUGCAGUCAGGUGCAGUCAGGUGGAGUAAGGUGCUGUAAGCUGGAGUGAAGAGCAGUCAGGUGCAGUUAGGUGGAGUAAGGUGGAGUGAGGAGCAGUCAGGUGGAGUAAGGUGCAGUUAGGUGGAGUAAGGUGCAGUCAGGUCGUUGGAGUAAAGUGAAGUUAGGUGGAGAAAGGGUAAAGAAACACCUACUAGUCCUCUCCCCCUAAUUUCUCCCUCCCUCCUCUCUCCCCCAGAGAGAGAGACAGACAGGGAGCUUGAGAGCGAGAGGUUGAGAGAAAGAGGGGGAGACAGACAGACAGACAGCGGGGGGCAGGGUGAGACAGGGAGAGAGACAGGGACUCUGUCUCUCUGUGGAGGAGGAGCAGGAUGGUUUUGUUGGGGUCUGAAACGACCCCCAGCUCUUCUUGGGACUGGUCAGACUAGCAGCCAUCUUUUGUUUUACUGUUUGUUCAAUUUGGUUCUUAAUAAUCCUCACAUUCCUUCUGCUGGUUCUACUGGGAGCUGCCCAGUAGAACACAUUCAACCACAGUGCUACGGGGGGACAGAAUCCUGAAAUAAAAAGUAUUUUCCCAAAAGGAUUAUUAAAUGUGUUCUGAUUA